AAAAGAAACUAACAAGGAUUCCCCUAGUAACUGCGAGUGAAGCGGGAAAAGCUCAAAUUUAAAAUCUGGCAGUCCUUGUGGCUGUCCGAGUUGUAAUCUAGAGAAGUGUUAUCCGCGCUGGACCGUGUACAAGUCUCCUGGAAUGGAGCGUCAUAGAGGGUGAGAAUCCCGUCUUUGACACGGACUACCAGGGCUUUGUGAUGCGCUCUCAAAGAGUCGAGUUGUUUG
rnacentral:rRNA from 1 species